rnacentral:pre_miRNA from 4 species
UCUUAAGGAUGAGCAAAGAAAAUGGUUUCUUGACAUAGAAACUACUACUGGUGAAGAUCCUGAGGA